rnacentral:rRNA from 1 species
CAGCAGCCGCGGUAAUACGGAGGGGGCUAGCGUUGUUCGGAAUUACUGGGCGUAAAGCGCACGUAGGCGGCUUGGUAAGUUAGAGGUGAAAGCCCGGAGCUCAACUCCGGAAUUGCCUUUAAGACUGCCGAGCUAGUAGGUGAGAGGGGUAAGUGGAACUCCGAGUGUAGAGGUGAAAUUCGUAGAUAUUCGGAAGAACACCAGUGGCGAAGGCGGCUUACUGGCUCAUUCUAGACGCUGAGGUGCGAAAGCGUGGGGAGCAAACAGGAUUAGAUACCCCCGUAGUCCCUGUCUCUUAUAC